rnacentral:rRNA from 1 species
CCAAUAGCGUAUAUUAAAGUUGUUGCAGUUAAAAAGCUCGUGGUUGAAUUUCGGGAUUCUACCGUUGGUCGGGCUAACAAGUCUGUACUGGUGUGUAGAAUUUCUACCUUCUGGGGAACUAUCAUGUUAUUAAUUUAGCGUGGUGGGAAACCAGGACCUUUACCUUGAAAAAAUUAGAGUGUUCAAAGCAGGCUUACGUCUGAAUACAUUAGCAUGGAAUAAUAGAAUAGGACGGUGGUCCUGUUUUGUUGGUUUCUGAAUCACCGUAAUGAUUAAUAGGGAUAGUUGGGGGCAUUAGUAUUCAAUUGUCAGAGGUGAAAUUCUUGGAUUUAUUGAAGACUAACUUCUGCGAAAGCAUUUGCCAAGGAUGUUUUCAUUAAUCAAGAACGAAAGUUAGGGGAUCGAAGACGAUCAGAUACCGUCGUAGUCUUAACCAUAAACUAUGCCGACUAGGGAUCGGACGAUGUUAAAUUUUAUUGACUCGUUCGGCGCCUUACG